AUACGUAGGGGGUGAGCGUUGUCCGGAAUGAUUGGGCGUAAAGGGCGCGUAGGCGGCCGCUUAAGUCUGGAGUGAAAGUCCUGUUUUCAAGAUGGGAAUUGCUUUGGAUACUGAUGGGCUUGAGUGCAGGAGAGGUUAUCGGAAUUCCCGGUGUAGCGGUGAAAUGCGUAGAGAUCGGGAGGAACACCAGUGGCGAAGGCGGGUAACUGGACUGCAACUGACGCUGAGGCGCGAAAGUGUGGGGAGCAAACAGGAUUAGAUACCCUGGUAGUCCACACUGUAAACGAUGAAUGCUAGGUGUAAGAGGUAUCGACCCCUUUUGUGCCGGAGUUAACACAAUAAGCAUUCCGCCUGGGGAGUACGGCCGCAAGGUUGAAACUCAAAUGAAUUGACGGGG
rnacentral:rRNA from 1 species